rnacentral:rRNA from 1 species
CACGAACGCUGGCGGCAGGCUUAACACAUGCAAGUCGAGCGCAGGAAGUCGACGGAACCCUUCGGGGGGAAGUCGACGGAAUGAGCGGCGGACGGGUGAGUAACACGUAAAGAACCUGCCCUCAGGUCUGGGAUAACCACGAGAAAUCGGGGCUAAUACCGGAUGGGUCAUCGGACCGCAUGGUCCGAGGAUGAAAGGCGCUCCGGCGUCGCCUGGGGAUGGCUUUGCGGUGCAUUAGCUAGUUGGUGGGGUAAUGGCCCACCAAGGCGACGAUGCAUAGCCGACCUGAGAGGGUGAUCGGCCACACUGGGACUGAGACACGGCCAAGACUCCUACGGGAGGCAGCAGUAGGGAAUCUUCCACAAUGGACGAAAGUCUGAUGGAGCAACGCCGCGUGAACGAUGAAGGCCUUCGGGUCGUAAAGUUCUGUUGUAAGGGAAGAACAAGUGCCGCAGGCAAUGGCGGCACCUUGACGGUACCUUGCGAGAAAGCCACGGCUAACUACGUGCCAGCCGCCGCAGUAACAC